rnacentral:lncRNA from 1 species
UUUUUAUCUUUAUCUUUUAUCUUUAGUUAGUUUGUUAUUAUUUCUUAUUUGUAUUUUGGGCUUAGCCCAUAUGUCUUCUAUUAUAAAUAGAGAACUUGUGUAUUUAACACAAGGGAUUGAUCUCAUACAUAGUUUUCAUCAUAUUUAAUAGGUUUAUACCUAUCUCUCCAAUGUCGAUUAUUUUUCCAUUUUGGUUUCCUUUAAAGGUUACUAUUCCCCC